rnacentral:rRNA from 1 species
UACGUAGGGGGCAAGCGUUGUCCGGAAUCAUUGGGCGUAAAGCGCGUGUAGGCGGCUCGGUAAGUCCGCUCUGAAAGUCCAGGGCUCAACCCUGGGAUGCGGGUGGAUACUGCCGGGCUCGAGUCCGGAAGAGGCGAGUGGAAUUCCCGGUGUAGCGGUGAAAUGCGCAGAUAUCGGGAGGAACACCAAUGGCGAAAGCGGCUUCCUGGUCCAGUACCGACGUUCAGGCACGAAAGCGUGGGGAGCAAACAGG